GAUGAAGAACGUAGCGAAAUGCGAUAAGCAAUGUGAAUUGCAGAAUUCAGUGAAUCAUCGAAUCUUUGAACGCACCUUGCGCUCUUUGGUAUUCCGAAGAGCAUGCCUGUUUGAGUGUCAUGAAAAUAUCAACCUUGACUUGGGUUUUGUGCUCUAGUCUCGGCUUGGAAUUGGGUGCUUGCCGCUUUUACGAGCGGCUCACCUUAAAUGUAUUAGCUGGAUCUGUCUUUGAGACUUGGUUUGACUUGGCGUAAUAAGUAUUUCGCUAAGGACAUUCUUCGGAGUGGCCUCGUUUCUAGGACGCUUGUCCGCUUUCCAAUACAAGUUCCACCUCGUGGACAUGACUUUUUAUUAUCUGGCCUCAAAUCAGGUAGGACUACCCGCUGAACUUAAGCAUAUCAAUAAGCGGAGGA
rnacentral:misc_RNA from 1 species